rnacentral:sRNA from 1 species
AACCUGAUGCACCUGGCGUGACGAGCCGGA